UGAGGAAUAUUGGGCAAUGCCCGCAAGGGUGACCCAGCAACGCCGCGUGGAGGAUGAAUGUCGUAAGAUUGUAAACUCCUGUUAGAGGGGAAGAAUAGUACCGGUUGGACCGGUAUAUGACUGUACCCUCGGAGAAAGCCCCGGCUAACUACGUGCCAGCAGCCGCGGUAAUACGUAGGGGGCAAGCGUUGUCCGGAUUUACUGGGUGUAAAGGGCGCGCAGGCGGGAUAAAAAGUCAGUGGUGAAAUCCUACAGCUUAACUGUAGAACUGCCUUUGAUACUUUUAUUCUUGAGUUCGGGAGAGAGAGACGGAAUUCCAGGUGUAGUGGUGAAAUACGUAGAUAUCUGGAAGAACACCAGUUGCGAAGGCGGUCUCUUGGUCCGACACUGACGCUGAGGCGCGAAAGCGUGGGGAGCAAACA
rnacentral:rRNA from 1 species